UGGGGAAUAUUGGACAAUGGGCGCAAGCCUGAUCCAGCCAUGCCGCGUGUGUGAAGAAGGCCUUAUGGUUGUAAAGCACUUUAAGCGAGGAGGAGGCUACUUUAGUUAAUACCUAGAGAUAGUGGACGUUACUCGCAGAAUAAGCACCGGCUAACUCUGUGCCAGCAGCCGCGGUAAUACAGAGGGUGCGAGCGUUAAUCGGAUUUACUGGGCGUAAAGCGUGCGUAGGCGGCUAAUUGAGUCGGAUGUGAAAUCCCCGAGCUUAACUUGGGAAUUGCAUUCGAUACUGGUUAGCUAGAGUGUGGGAGAGGAUGGUAGAAUUCCAGGUGUAGCGGUGAAAUGCGUAGAGAUCUGGAGGAAUACCGAUGGCGAAGGCAGCCAUCUGGCCUAACACUGACGCUGAGGUACGAAAGCAUGGGGAGCAAACAGG
rnacentral:rRNA from 1 species